rnacentral:rRNA from 1 species
GACACGCUGGCGGCGUGCUUAACACAUGCAAGUCGAACGGAUCACAUUGCUUCGGUUUUGUGGUGAGUGGCGAACGGGUGAGUAACACGUGAGUAACCUGCCCCCUUCUUUGGGAUAACGUCGGGAAAUCGGCGCUAAUACUGGAUAUUCUGGUUUCCUCGCAUGGGGUUUCUGGGAAAGGUUUUCUGGUGGGGGAUGGGCUCGCGGCCUAUCAGCUUGUUGGUGGGGUGAUGGCCUACCAAGGCGGUGACGGGUAGCCGGCCUGAGAGGGUGUCCGGCCACACUGGGACUGAGACACGGCCCAGACUCCUACGGGAGGCAGCAGUGGGGAAUAUUGCACAAUGGGCGCAAGCCUGAUGCAGCGACGCCGCGUGAGGGAUGACGGCCUUCGGGUUGUAAACCUCUUUCAGUACAGAACAAGGCCUUCGGGUUGAGGGUAUGUGCAGAAGAAGCGCCGGCUAACUACGUG